rnacentral:sRNA from 1 species
AGGCCAAAAACGGACGCUGUUAUAACCAGGGCUACAACACUGGUGAUCGCCAUCGAGGGGAUGACUUCACGUCCUGGAACGCUUUCCAUACCGAAUACGCCUACAGAAAAUCCUAGAGGUGGAAAAAAUACCGCCACAUAGGUAAAAGCAGUUAUAUGCCUUGCUUCCCUCAACGACUCGAGAGAUCGAUUUGCUGCUUGAGAGUUGUUGACGUGGCUUAUCGUAAAUUCAGUUCGUGCCUCCUUCGUCGUGAGGCCCAUAAUGCAGCCUUCCAUAAUGACUUCGUUCUUUUUAAUACAAAAUAAUUAAAGAGUAUUAAAAAACUGUAAAUAGUAGUAAUAAUUAGCUAUAGGAAGAUAUGACUUGAUAGUAGAAG